AAGGUUUCCGUAGGUGAACCUGCGGAAGGAUCAUUAACACGUAUCCAACGUUAAACCCCCCUGUGAACCUUCAUGCUUGUUGGUGUCUGUAGAGGCCGACACGGCCGGCGACCGGGUCACGGGCUCACGCCCCUUAAUCACCUUUGCAUGAAAACGCCUGAGCUUAUUACCAAUCGAACAACUGUUUACAAGGGAUAUCUUGGUUCUC
rnacentral:misc_RNA from 1 species